GAUGAACGCUGGCGGCGUGCUUAACACAUGCAAGUCGAGCGAUGAAGUUUCCUUCGGGAAACGGAUUAGCGGCGGACGGGUGAGUAACACGUGGGUAACUUGCCUCAUAGAGUGGAAUAGCCUUCCGAAAGGAAGAUUAAUACCGCAUAAUGUUGAAAGAUGGCAUCAUCAUUCAACCAAAGGAGCAAUCCGCCAUGAGAUGGACCCGCGGCGCAUUAGCUAGUUGGUGGGGUAACGGCCUACCAAGGCGACGAUGCGUAGCCGACCUGAGAGGGUGAUCGGCCACAUUGGGACUGAGACACGGCCCAGACUCCUACGGGAGGCAGCAGUGGGGAAUAUUGCACAAUGGGGGAAACCCUGAUGCAGCAACGCCGCGUGAGUGAUGAAGGUUUUCGGAUCGUAAAGCUCUGUCUUUGGGGAAGAUAAUGACGGUACCCAAGGAGGAAGCCACGGCUAACUACGUGCCAGCCGCCGCCGUAA
rnacentral:rRNA from 1 species